rnacentral:tRNA from 2 species
GUUUUUAUAAUUUAAAUAAAAUAUUGGUCUUGUAAACCAAAAAAAAGAAUUUUCUUUAAAAACA